rnacentral:rRNA from 1 species
UUCCCGCUCAGGACGAACGCUGGCGGCGUGCCUAAUACAUGCAAGUCGAGCGGACAGAAGGGAGCUUGCUCCCGGAUGUUAGCGGCGGACGGGUGAGUAACACGUGGGUAACCUGCCUGUAAGACUGGGAUAACUCCGGGAAACCGGAGCUAAUACCGGAUAGUUCCUUGAACCGCAUGGUUCAAGGAUGAAAGACGGUUUCGGCUGUCACUUACAGAUGGACCCGCGGCGCAUUAGCUAGUUGGUGGGGUAAUGGCUCACCAAGGCGACGAUGCGUAGCCGACCUGAGAGGGUGAUCGGCCACACUGGGACUGAGACACGGCCCAGACUCCUACGGGAGGCAGCAGUAGGGAAUCUUCCGCAAUGGACGAAAGUCUGACGGAGCAACGCCGCGUGAGUGAUGAAGGUUUUCGGAUCGUAAAGCUCUGUUGUUAGGGAAGAACAAGUGCGAGAGUAACUGCUCGCACCUUGACGGUACCUAACCAGAAAGCCACGGCUAACUACGUGCCAGCAGCCGCGGUAAUACGUAGGUGGCAAGCGUUGUCCGGAAUUAUUGGGCGUAAAGGGCUCGCAGGCGGUUUCUUAAGUCUGAUGUGAAAGCCCCCGGCUCAACCGGGGAGGGUCAUUGGAAACUGGGAAACUUGAGUGCAGAAGAGGAGAGUGGAAUUCCACGUGUAGCGGUGAAAUGCGUAGAGAUGUGGAGGAACACCAGUGGCGAAGGCGACUCUCUGGUCUGUAACUGACGCUGAGGAGCGAAAGCGUGGGGAGCGAACAGGAUUAGAUACCCUGGUAGUCCACGCCGUAAACGAUGAGUGCUAAGUGUUAGGGGGUUUCUCGCCCCUUAGUGCUGCAGCUAACGCAUUAAGCACUCCGCCUGGGAGACGCCCC